GCAUAACUGAAUACUGUGUCCUUUAACCAGUACUUUGCACAGCCAGACACCAUGCAAAAGUAAAGUCUUCCUUUUAAAUGAGUGAUGAUACACUAGUUGUUGUUGGUAUGUCAUUAUUAAAAGUGAGCACAGUA
ensembl:snoRNA